rnacentral:misc_RNA from 1 species
GAUGAAGAACGUAGCGAAAUGCGAUACGUAAUGUGAAUUGCAAAUUCAGUGAAUCAUCGAGUCUUUGAACGCACAUUGCGCCCCCUGGUAUUCCGGGGGGCAUGCCUGUCCGAGCGUCAUUGCUGCCCUCAAGCUCGGCUUGUGUGUUGGGCCCCGUCCUCCGAUCCCGGGGGACGGGCCCGAAAGGCAGCGGCGGCACCGCGUCCGGUCCUCGAGCGUAUGGGGCUUUGUCACCCGCUCUGUAGGCCCGGCCGGCGCUUGCCGAUCAACCCAAAUUUUUAUCCAGGUUGACCUCGGAUCAGGUAGGGAUACCCGCUGAACUUAAGCAUAUCAAUAAGCGGAGGA